rnacentral:misc_RNA from 1 species
UGUUUUGAAUUUUGGAAGUGAUAGGCGAAAUUUUAAGAUUCUUGUAUUUCUUGUUUUUUAAAUUAGAUUAAUAGUUAGUGUUUAAUAUUUAGUUAGUGUUUAUAUUUUUCAUUAUAAAAAAAUGGUAUAUUUUUUCUGUAAGGGCAGCACAAUUUUCUCUACUCGACAAGGCGAAGUCUUCGGAAGAGAAUUUUGUCUCUCGUAGUGCGCAUGUUAGGGUAAUCGAGAAAAUACUCGAUAUAGACAUUAUCUCUCUCUCUCGUCAAGAGAUAUCUCGUUGUA